GGACUUGUGGCUCAGUGGUAGAGCUCUUGCCUACCAUGUGUGAGGCACUGAGUUCAAUUCUCAGUACCA
rnacentral:tRNA from 1 species